rnacentral:rRNA from 1 species
AGGCGCACCACAAGGAGUGGAGCCUGCGGCUUAAUUUGACUCAACACGGGAAAACUCACCCGGACCGGACACAGGAAGGAUUGACAGAUUAAGAGCUCUUUCUUGAUUCUGUGGGUGGUGGUGCAUGGCCGUUCUUAGUUCGUGGAGUGAUUUGUCUGGUUAAUUCCGAUAACGAACGAGACUCUAGCCUACUAAAUAGACGCUCCGAUCCACUGCGUCGGACGUUCUUCUUAGAGGGACAAGCGGCGCUUAGCCGCACGAGACAGAGCAAUAACAGGUCAUUGAUGCCCUUAGAUGCCCGGGGCCGCACGCGCGCUACAUUGAAGGAAUCAGCGUGUGCUUUCCCUGUCCGACAGGACUGGGUAACCCCUUGAAACUCCUUCGUGCUAGGGAUAGGGAAUUGUAAUUGUUUCCCUUGAACGAGGAACUCCUAGUAAGCAUGAGUCAUAAGCUCGUGUUGAUUGUGUCCCUGCGCCUUGUACACACCGCCCGUCGCUACUACCGAUUGAACGAUUUAGUGAGGUCUUCGGACUGGCGCUCGGAGCGGCCUUCGGGUCGUGCCGGCGUGCCGGAA